CAACCCUCAAGCGCUGUAGUGCUUGGUGUUGGGGCUUCUGCUGGUGACAGCAGGCCCUGAAAGCUAGUGGCGGGCUCGCCGUGACCCUGAGCGUAGUAAAUUACAUCGCUUCUGCGGCUCGCGGUGGGUUUCCAGCCGUGAAAACCCUUAAUUUUCACAA
rnacentral:misc_RNA from 1 species